rnacentral:rRNA from 1 species
UACGGAGGAUGCAAGCGUUAUCCGGAUUUAUUGGGUUUAAAGGGUGCGUAGGCGGAGUCUUAAGCGUGAGGUGAAAUGCCACUGCUCAACAGUGGAACUGCCUCGCGAACUGGGAUUCUGGAAUGCCCCUGCCGUGGGAGGAAUGUGUGGUGUAGCGGUGAAAUGCAUAGAGAUCACACAGAACACCGAUUGCGAAGGCAUCUCACGAACGGAUGAUUGACGCUGAGGCACGAAAGCGUGGGGAUCAAAC